CAGCUCUGCACACUCAGGGAGGAUUCAACGAGGUCCCCUGGGGAGACAGAUGGUCCCGAUUAACCGAGGAUCCAGGUGUGGAGGGCAAGGGGAGAUGGUGCAAAGCUCACCUCCUUCUCAGCCUCCGCUGGCCUCAGGUUUCCGACGUGCUGUUCCUGCUGAGGGCCUGACGGUUUGCAGCAACCCUGCCCUAGAACAAGGUCAAGCUCAAGCCAGGAGAGGGGCUGGCACUUCCAAGUUCAAGGGCUGUGCUUGAGGGAUGGUGACAAGCUACACAGACCUUCAGGGCAUUAUCAGCAUGCAAAUGAGAUGACCCCUGGGGCCACCUUGAAUGAGGACAGAGAUUUGUUUGCACAUCCUGUCCUGGGAAGCCCUGUGGUUGUCAAGUGAUUUACCGAAUCUAAAUGUGCAGAGGAGAGAACUUCUGGCUGCCUUUGU